rnacentral:lncRNA from 1 species
UUCUCUCGCGAUUGUUAACCCAAACUGUAGUUCUUUUAACAAAAAUCUACCACUGCUUUGGUAGCUGCUUAUACAAAAUUUCGACAUCAAGCUACAGGACACCCUGCUUUGAAAGCGAGAUGCAUUUGCAAAGAAAGAAAUAAUCACCAGGUUUUAUAUGUUAGUUGCGAUAUAUAUUGUUUGAUGUUGGCCUAUGUAUUUGUGGCUCUUUCAUUUCCAUGUGCUCUCCAGAGCUCUAUUCUUUUUUAACAGUUUGGCUAAUAAGUCUACAAUAUUUGUCUACAAGGAACAGAGAUCAAUAGAUAAAUUUAGAAUGCAUUGUUCAUUGCUUAUAAAUAGCAGCAUAGUUUUCACCAAGACAAAUCAUUUUUUGAUGUCCAUGUCCUUGAGACCUUUUUCGUUUGUGAAGUCGGUAACAGCUUGGUCAAAGGUGCUCCGAAUAUGCUGGCACAUGAGCAUCAGGUCCUGGCAUGAGUCUCUUAGCACCUCACUAGCUGGAUCGCCUGCAGAAAUGGAAAUAAAUAUCUUAAAGAAAAGAUUGAUAUGGCAUUAAGUAUCACGAAAAGAACAAAGAAGGUAAGUUCUACUUUCAUUUUUAGUUCGUGGGGUAAAUUUGUUUAGCCUUAGGGUAAUGAUUAACCUAAAACACAAUAGUAAACUAUGUUUACUACACAGUUAGGAAGGAAAAUGGGUUAGACGGGUUAUUAUUAUAAAAUUUAAGAACUGUUAGAAGCAAAUUUUCUGAUUCAGGAUCGAUAUAUCUUAUAUGAAUCACAGACUGAAUAAAAGAUAUCAUACUUAUUANGGUAACCCACUAGAAUUUAAAAUCAAGAUGCAUGAUCAUCUUCACAUAAUGUGGAGGGCCUUCAAGGCUUCAACAUAUAACAUGAUCAUCUCAAAUCCUUGCACAAUGAUAAUCCAACUCAACAGAAUAUGAGAUUAAUAAAAGAUGUUGUAGAUCAUAGCUGAAAGAGCUCCGGAAAUCAUGACUAUCAAAUAUCAAAUAACCUUAGAGAGGCCUUCAUGUACUUCAUUAAACCUACCUCUAUAAAGGGUGGCUUUCUGGUACAAGUCCCAUGAUUAGCACAACUAUGUUUCUUCUUUUCUGUACGAGCCUCUAUGGACACGCCUUCUCUUUGCUAGCCUCUUAAGGGCGCACAAAGAACACCUGUAUUUCUUGAUCCGGAUUUCCUAGUUUACUUGUUUGUCCUUCAUCAUAAAUAAAAGGCCAUUCAAAUUAUGACUAUAACAGUAAACUUUCUAAAAUCUCUCAAAGUUCUAACAGAAUAUUAUAAACUUUUCUGACAUAAAAUGAGUUUCUUACAAUCCGUAUUCCUUUAACACGCAACUCUUUGAUGGUUAAGAUAUCAAGUACGAGGACAAGUAGUGUAAUUUGCAUUUCAUCCUUUAACUGACUAUGUAAUAUAUUUGACAUUAACUUAUUUGAUACUUGACAGAGUUAUCAAGCACAGUAAAUUCAUCUGGUCACAGGUUAUGAAGGAGAUUUUAGAUCAAGGCAAUAAUGCGAAAGGAUUUGAAAAGUGAUGAAUUUUGAAUGAAUGUAGUUUAGUACUUGCCAUAAGUUAAGUGAACAAGGAAUAAGAUGCAGAUAAUGGAGGAGUCAACAACAGGUUAUAUGAAUUCAGAGUCGUGUUGUGAUGUUGCUAAUCAAGUGCACAUUUUGCUGACACUUCUUCAAGAUUAUAAAGGCAGAUCACUUCUCUUUCCGUGAUUUUGUCACUCAAAAAAGAUUUGAAAUCUUUGAAAUUCUGACGUAAUACAUUGAAUUUUUAGUUGCUUGGUUAUGCUGAGGACUGAGGUGAUCUCGGCAUUCUCCAACUUGCAGUGCUUUCAAAAAUUGUAGAAUUUGCUCCUGACAAGAUAUAAUAAUUAAAGUUAUUUGUAGAAAUUGCUAAUAAAUUUGUUUUCUCUCGCGAUUGUUAACCCAAACUGUAGUUCUUUUAACAAAAAUCUACCACUGCUUUGGUAGCUGCUUAUACAAAAUUUCGACAUCAAGCUACAGGACACCCUGCUUUGAAAGCGAGAUGCAUUUGCAAAGAAAGAAAUAAUCACCAGGUUUUAUAUGUUAGUUGCGAUAUAUAUUGUUUGAUGUUGGCCUAUGUAUUUGUGGCUCUUUCAUUUCCAUGUGCUCUCCAGAGCUCUAUUCUUUUUUAACAGUUUGGCUAAUAAGUCUACAAUAUUUGUCUACAAGGAACAGAGAUCAAUAGAUAAAUUUAGAAUGCAUUGUUCAUUGCUUAUAAAUAGCAGCAUAGUUUUCACCAAGACAAAUCAUUUUUUGAUGUCCAUGUCCUUGAGACCUUUUUCGUUUGUGAAGUCGGUAACAGCUUGGUCAAAGGUGCUCCGAAUAUGCUGGCACAUGAGCAUCAGGUCCUGGCAUGAGUCUCUUAGCACCUCACUAGCUGGAUCGCCUGCAGAAAUGGAAAUAAAUAUCUUAAAGAAAAGAUUGAUAUGGCAUUAAGUAUCACGAAAAGAACAAAGAAGGUAAGUUCUACUUUCAUUUUUAGUUCGUGGGGUAAAUUUGUUUAGCCUUAGGGUAAUGAUUAACCUAAAACACAAUAGUAAACUAUGUUUACUACACAGUUAGGAAGGAAAAUGGGUUAGACGGGUUAUUAUUAUAAAAUUUAAGAACUGUUAGAAGCAAAUUUUCUGAUUCAGGAUCGAUAUAUCUUAUAUGAAUCACAGACUGAAUAAAAGAUAUCAUACUUAUUAUAAAACAGACGCAGAAUACAAGUAAAACAAUAGAGUGACAACUAGAUGCAAGUAAAACAAUAGAGUGACAACUAGAUGAAAUCCUGUAGUCUGUCCAGGUAGUAUAAACACAAUAUAACACAAAACAACGAGAGUGUCAUAACUAAAUUUUAAUAUGGAAGUUAUUUUUAAAAAAAUGGGUGAAGGUCAUGACCUGAAUUCUAAAUGAAUUCAAUCAAGAGAACACACACAUCUGUGAUGUCGAAUCAGAUGUUAAUGAAGGACUUCAUAAUAUUAAAGAGAAACAAAAAGGGACUAGGAAGUACAAUUACAACCAAACAAGACCCGAUAGUACAGACUAAAAUAAAA